GAAAAACCACAAAGAAAGAGGCAUAUGAAAAGUGAAAAAAAUACAGAGCUGGAGGUGAACCUAAACACUCAGAGGUAAUUUGCCUUGAGGAGCAAGAGCCCUUGAGACCUAUGUGUAGACUUUGGAAAAAAGAACCUGUGAACAAUAGUAAAGGCUAUGAAAGUACCAUCCCUCUGACAGGUUGUCUUCUAACUGGAAAAUGAAGAGUCAAAAAGUCCUGAGGCCUUUCUGCCCUUCUCACUGAAAGGAAAAUGAACAGCCUGGUCAUGGGAUGAAUGUUGUCUUGGGUCACCAUCAAGAUCCUGACCUGCCUAAAUGAUGUGACACAAGGAAAGAGGAACCAGCAAGGUGUUGACUCCAGAACCUGCAGAGUUGGGUUGAGCAGCAAGGCUGGUGGUGGUCAGGGCAGCCAGCCACUCCAGCUCCACACUGACCCAAGCUGUACAUAUCGAUCUCUGAGCAGUGCUGCCGGCUAGCAGAGAUACAUCUUGAACCAGUUGGGAAUCCCAGAAUAGAAGUACUGAUAAAGGCUCAUGAAGGAAUUUAACUACCCAGACAUCUGUUGAGUAACAAAUACAGCUGAACAUGCAUCAUCGCAGAGGUUCCUAAAUUAUAGUGAAGACAACUUUAUGAUCCAGAAAGUAGAGACUCCUGAG
rnacentral:lncRNA from 1 species